GACGAACGCUGGCGGCGUGCUUAACACAUGCAAGUCGAACGGAAAUUCCCUGCUUUUUUGGUGUGCUCGAGUGGCGAACGGGUGAGUAACACGUUAGUAACCUGCCCUGUACUUUGGGAUAACUUCAGGAAACUGGCGCUAAUACCGGAUAUGAUCUCCUGCUACAUGGUGUGGCUUGUAAAGUUUCGGUGGUUGGGGAUGGACUCGCGGCUUAUCAGCUUGUUGGUGGGGGAGUGACUUACCAAGGCUUUGACGGGUAGCCGGCCUGCGAGGGUGACAGGCCACAGUGGGACAGAGAAACGGCCAAGAGUGCUACGGGAGGAAGGAGUGGGGAAUAGUGCGAAAAGGGCGGAAGGAUGAUGGAGCAAUGUCGCGUGCGGGAUGACGGUCUUCGGGGUGGAACACGGUUUCGAGUGUGAGGAAGCGUGAGUGCGGUAAAUGGGUAAAGAAGCACCGGCUACUUAGGU
rnacentral:rRNA from 1 species